GGGAGCGGGCACGCGCGUGCGGCGCUGGGCUGGCUAGGCGGCGGCUCGCGCGAGAAGUUGGGCCGGUUCGGCCCAAUUCGGCCGGGCCGGUCCGUUUACUCUUUUUUUUUUAGCCUUUUCUUUUUCUGCUGUUCUCAUUUCUUUGAUAACUUUUGAGUUUGAACUCCAAACUGGUCCAAAUAAAUUCCAGAAAAUUUGUAAAAUCAUGUUCUACCAUGAUACUGUUGGGGAACGCGGUAUGCUACGCUGGCACAAAAUAAAAUUUUCUACCGCUUCCGCCCGGAACAAUGAUGUAGAUAAUGGAUCACGAGAUUACCACUAGACGCGCAGACCCGUAGCGGAAGUAGAGUCGAUGUAGCGCGUCGAUGCCGAGUAGUCGAACAGCCUGCUCCUCCCCGCCGAUCCCACGAACAGUUUGUCCAAGCGCCGCAGGUGCAGCGCCUCCGAGGUAUCCACACGUACAGGGAGGAACUCCGUGCGGCAGACUGCUAGAUCCGAUCGCAAGGCUUUAGGCAUGGAGGUGCGACGGCCGAGUCUAACUCGCGUCUAAACUCGGGUUGACCCUAGACGGGUUGGUCUCCUCCACUUAUAUAGACG
rnacentral:lncRNA from 1 species